rnacentral:piRNA from 1 species
UCCUAUGAGAAUCUAAUGCCUUUGCUGA